AAAAAUCUCUUUCUUUUUGUUGGCACAAAAGCAAAGAAGGAAUUUAAUGGAGUGGCAAACUAAUGUGUCCUGUUAUGGUAGCUCUCUCAAAGCAGAGUGGCAACAUGAUAUGCAGGCAUGAUGGAUGAACCAAUGUUUGUGGUGAAAAUUGUAAAUGUCCCUUUGUAGGACUUGCCUUUAAUGCAAAAGUUGAUGGAGUUGCAAGCAUUCCUCUUAACUUAUAUUCUGCACAAAUCUCCAUAACUCAAACACAGUAGUUCUUUUAACUUGCACUGUUUGACCUUCUGAGGGAAUGCUUGCCUCAUUUGGAUGCCAUGGGAAUGGGCACUUACUGAUUAGGUCUCAGCACUCAACUUGGCUUCCUUGGUACAGUAGUAGUCCUCGCUGUAACCUGGUGAGGUAGAACACAGUGACUAGGAGGUAGGAGUUUGAGGAAGAAUGUGCUCAGCUGGUAAGGGGCUAGAAACAGUUGUAUCUUUAAGCUAAUUUGUGAAGAAAUACUUUCUCUGCUCAAGAAAUUUGCCAGCAAGGAUAAUAAAAGCAAUCACUGAUGUGAUGUCUCCUGGACCAACAAAACUUCAGGUGAACGGGAAUUUGUGAAGGCUGAAACAUCAUAAACAGGAUACUUCACAUAUUAUGACGGUAUAAAAGGCAUAUGACAACAAAUGGUGAAGGAAUUCUGUAGGAGUGCUGACACAGAACACUGAUGAGAUUUGGGAGGAGAUGUUUUAAAUUAGAAACUUGGGAAGAGUUGACAGUUGACGAAGGGUACUGAGGUCACCCAAAGACAUCUGGUAAGACUGCCAGUCACUAUCGCAAAGGCAAUUUUGCCAAGUUUGGGAUAGGACAGAAAACAGAGCUGCACAGGAGGAGGAAUAGUUGGAGAUCAGAGUUGAAUUCUUGAAAAGUAGCAAGGUUACACAUGUGAACUACACCAAAUUAGGCACAGGGCCAAAAGUGUAUGUUAUAAAUAUGCUCAAAUGGGCAUACUUAUAAAAAUCUGUAUAUUUUCUGAUUUUAAGCAUAAAGUCUCAGUAAAAUUUACAGGUCAAAAAUUCAGCGUGUGUCACCUUCUGAAGGAAAUGCCAGUCAGUGGUCUCCAGUAGACACUGAAUAUAACCAACUCUGUUUAUUGAGACUUCUGUCUUUAGGAUACUGUCUGAUUCCUCCCUUUCUUCCUUCCUUUUUUUCUUGUCUUGGUUCAGUCUUUUAAAUUGUUCUUCCUGGUUAAUUAAUCUUAGCCUUCUGAUAUGGUCUGUUGUUUACAGCACCACAAUUCAUCAUCAGAGAAUUGCAUGCAGUUCAGUGUGCUUGACCCAAGACACAGAUCUGAGCAUCUGCCCAUUUUGCGGAAGCGAGGCAUCUGGCACAGCCUUCAGAGCUGAGAGCUGUCCUUAUUGUGGGCUCUGGCAAACUUCAGAUUUGAGUCACCAGGCAUUGUGGGGAAGCAGAGACUGGGCAGUUGUCCCUUCAAAGUGUUAUACUACAAAUGUUGGGCUGUUGUCACUGAGGAUGAAUUGGAUAAGAAAACUAUGCUGAUAACAAUGCACACUUUGAUACAAGAACACCUUGAAAUUCUGUCUAGCUAAAAGCUUUGUGGCAACAUACAUUAUUUCUGCAAAAGACUUCUCACUAGGUGAUUGUGAUUCCCUAAAAUGUGGAGAUGCAGAAUUCUUGGCUACACGACAAACAUUCAUACUCACAAGGGUAGUGCAAAAAAUGUAGAUUAUAACGUGGGUGUGGAAUAGCUAUAAAAGACUGGAGUGAGAUUCUAAGUGAGAUUUCUGUGUAAUGUUCUCCUUAUGUCAAGACUAGUUAUUCACUUUCUGGAGGAAAUGCUUACCUCUUGGUUACAGUAUAUCAAGGCUUUUGAAGAUAUUAGCAUGUUACUCUGAAGAUGGCUGUGCUAGCUUUCUGAAUUGUCUGUUGAAAUUCUAAGUGCUGAAUAUUACAGAAAAAUGCUGAAAACUAGGUGUAAGUACUCCUACAGAAUUCAGUGAUCUUCCAGCUUUACAAAGCCAAGGAAUUUUCUGAUGUGUGACUUGGGAGCUUAGUUCUUGCUGUUUCGUUAUCCUAGAAUGGCUGGCUUAUUUUGUCCAUAUGAUUCCAAGUGCAAUUUUGGUUACCUCUGAAAAGUUUGAUGAAGUCACUGGGAACUGGAUGGACCAAGAACAACUCUUGAUCCUUAUUGUUUAGAACUGAGCAAAUCCAAUGUCUUCAAUUUUAUGUAGAAAAAAAAUAUAUAGGUGAAGUUUCAAGGAUAAAUAGAUCUUUAGUCUUCAAAAUACAGUGGAAGACAAAUCAAAUCUACAGUAAUAAACUCCUAGAAAAUGAAUUCAGAAAUGAGAAGUUUCUGUGGCUUCCAAAAUCAGCCAUAAGUACUCAAAAUGAUAGGUGAGUGUGUAAGAAAAGAAAACAUUUCUGUAAGCAUGUAUUCAAUGUUUAUAUGAUGUAUCCAUUUGUGUGUGUGUGUGUAUAUAUAUAUAUAUAGUUUAUAUAUUUAAUUUUCAUUAUUGGUUAACAAGUAAAACUGCAUGGGUUAUCUUUGUAGCAAACAUAAGUGUAAUUGUUCCAUUAAUAAGUAUCUGACUAGCUUGUGAAAACAUUCUUUUCAAGAUUUUGAUACGUUUGGGCAACAAUUUUAUAGCACGCAGUUUUAUGUUCAGAGGCAUUUGUGCUUUGGCUUUUCAUCAUGUUGUAAGUGACAAGAAAACUCUAAACAGAAGUGGUUAACAGGAAGCCUCUUCAAGGUACUAAGCAAGUCUUGCAAGAAACUGAGGCCCCUUCCUAGUUCAUGUGCCUUACUAAGUCAUUUCCCUGGUCAUUUUCCCUGGCCCACAGUCAUGUAUGAACUCUGGGAAGGUGCCCAAUAGUAAGCUAAAAAGUCUUGAGUCCCAUAAUAGAAUAAUAGAGUCUUAAUCAACAAGAGCUGCACUGUAGCGCAGUGCAAUGACUUUAAUAGCAGUGUUACAGGAAGCUUGUGUUCAGCCAAAGUUCACAAGCAGUAGGAUAGAAGCUCUCAUAUCUGUAAGUUAAGGUGAAGCAAGCUAAAGACAAUAUCAGGAGUAGUAUUCUGCUGGAAGGUAGCUUAGCUGCAUUUUGGGUGAAAUACUAUUACCUAUGACAUAUAAUUCACUAACGUGUAAAAAAUACAUGUUAAUAGCAUGACUGAGUGCCUUCUAAGGUAUGAGUAUGGGGAAACUCUUUAGGAACCUUGUAUGUGUUAUCCUCAUACGUGAUGUGGACGUGAAUCCAAUGAAGUAAGGUUAUUGGAAAUGGACCACUGAAAAAUCAAAGCCAAAAAUGGGACAGGCUUCUCUCAAAGUAACAGCAAUCCUCAGCUGGCACUAGAAUUGGCAGCGUUUGUGUCUUAUAGUCCUUGGUGCUGACUGCUGUGCUGCAAUGUGGCCUAGUAAAGUUUUUUUGUUCUUGUUUGUUUUGUUGUUGUGUUACAGUGUUUUUUUGUUUUCUUCUUUAAAUGUUUUCACAUAACUUCCAGAAUGCCCAUGUGUGCCAACAAGUGUGUGAAUGUUAAACCUGAUGGAUUAGGAAUGCAGGUAUACACGGCCAUGCAUGGUAUGAAUGUUAAUAAUCCUGGCUUCUAUUUUUGAAUCUACUGCAAAGUGUGUGUAAAGGAAGGUGCAAUGUCUUUUUCUAGGUGCUACACUGAGGUGUCAUUUUGUACAAUAUGACGAGUAACUGAUACAAGUCGCUUGGGAUUUGGCGCUUAUGUGGUACCAUAACAUGUCAAUGCUAUAAGAUGUCUAAAGCCUUGUGAGCUUCAGGAGUGUUCAGGUUUGUGAGACCAAUCUUCUUUAAUCCUCUUUUGUUUUGUUUUGUUCUUAUAGUCCAGUGAUUUGUGAUUCCCCCAAGAAGUGUAAAGACCAAAUGGCUCUAUUUACAGGAAAAAAAGCUUGUAAAGAGAAAAACCUCGACCUGAGUCUGCACAGCUGUAUUGUUUUGGGAGGAAAAGGUGGGAGGGGAGGCUGGUCCUGUUGCUGUUUUGUUCAACACAAAGGUUCAAUUUCCUUGACAAAUGAUGGACACUACCUCCAGAAUUGGAACUCUGAUCCCAAAGGGGCCCUGUGUUAUUAUAACAUAAAGAAUGGUUAUUAAACUGUCAGAGGGUUAAUAGUUUCAUCUUAAUAAUCUUGAUAGAUGGUGCACAUUUCACCAGUGCUCCAAAAGCCCACAAUGAGCUUUAAAAUAUUUUACUAUUGGCUUGCCCUUCAUUUCCCAAAGAAGUCUAAGGAGAACGCUUCUUACUAAUAAAUUCUUUAUCAUAACUUAGCUGGUUUUCCCCUUAUAGAAGGGAAGUACAUCUUUGCUGUGCUGCCUGAUUAAUUGGUCUAAUUUUAUCAGGAAAAUUAAAUCCUCUUCUUUAUCUAGGAACUUAUUCAAAGAGAUCUGAGCCUAAAUCCCAGCCCAUGAGCCUGAUGACUAUUCUGCAUAAGCAUCUCUACACUUUAUUAACUUAUUACUUUUAAAGUGAUUUCUGCCUGAAGGAUUCCCUUCAACAUUGAGGGCCAUUUGUCUUCUGUUCUCAGGAUUUCAGGAUGACAAAUGGAAUGUCAGAUAUGACUUACUCUGAGACCUUAAAGGAUUCAUGUGGUAUAGCUCUUAACUGUACCUCAAGGUUCUGUAGGAUGUUACCUCUGAAGCUGGCCAAUUUUGAUGACCAAACAAACAUCUGAUUGCCUUUACAACUGGAGAAGUAGCUGAAGUCUAAAUUGAAGUAGUUCUUAAACUACUGUUGAUCAUUCAGUGAGGAAAGGCUAAUAAAUGUGUACAUAAAUAUGUAUAAGAGUUGAUCCCAGUAGUGGAAAUCAUGGUAAUAAUUAUGUAAUAAUAAGCUAGUAAUAAAGAUUAUGACAAAGGAGUCUCAGCAACUUGAAACAAUACAAGCCAAUGCUUUGCUUCUCCUCACUUUGGCUCGUAUCUUAAAAAGAACAUGUCCCCAAACGUGUAGAGAUAAUGAAGACAAAAAAAGCUCAAUAUUUGUAUAUAACAGUUUGAAAUGCAUGCAUUUAUAAGAGUAAAUGUAUAUUAAAGCAUGGAAAAGUCUCCCCAUCUUUUUCAUGAUUAAGUUGCAUUUGGAUUCAGUGUUCAUACCAUAAAAGUGAUAUUAAACUUGAGGAGAAGGUAUGGGUAUGGCCAUGAUGUUGUCACCUUUAUCUUUAAGUGUACUGAAAUAUCCUAAACCUGACAAAGCACAAAGUCUGGAGAAUUAUCUUAUGGUGAAAGAUGAAACAAAAUAACAUGUCCUCUGUCCUUCACUGUCAACAUGAUGACUUAUAAGCAUUCUUUUUCUCUGCAUUUUCCUCCUAUUAAAAUCAUCCUGUCUGAGCAAAACGGCCUGCGACAGAUGACAAAUAUGGGAUAUUUCAUGGACAAAAAUCACACUCUAAAUUGGAUAUGCUGUGAGAGUAUUGCAACCUGAUAUGCUGAAGCUUAACAGAAAUGCAAAAGACAUUCUUCACUCUGUCAGAUACUGUCUGCCACAUGACUUUCCAUGUAGUUUACUCCAUUAGGCGUAGGAUGAUUUUUCCUUGUUUUGACUCUUCUGGUUGAAAGGUUGGUUACUGUGACUUUAUGUGGAAGAUAACAGCUGCAGAAACUGACCAGUUAAAUAUAUGAUGGCAAAACAGAGGAUACUGUCAUAAACAUAAUACAAUAAGCACGAUAUAAUCUUCAUAGCUUUGUUGUUUCACUUGUUGAGAUUCUGGAGAUCUUCAGUGCAGAAAUUAGCUUCUUGCUUCUACAAAACCCAGGCUGCAAAAUCAUCUUUAUUUAGAAAUUCCAUCCUAUUGUGAAAUACGUUUAUUUAGCAAUGAGAAGGGAAAGUGAAGAGAAAAGGAAGGACCACAUUAAGACUUCAGAGGUAUAAAAAAUAAUCUGUGAGGAGGGAAGUAGUAAUCUAGUUUUUGUACUCCUGGUAGAUAGGACAGGAAGUGCUGAGCUUUAUGCUUUAUCAAAAAAGAUUGGUUUACACACUAGACCUAUCUGUGUGUGUGUGUGUGUGUGUGUGUGUGAGAGAGAGAGAGAGAGAGAGAGAGAGUGUUUAAUGGUAAGGUUUGUGAAGAAAGUGUUCCUGUGUCAGGAUUGUGGAGGAUGGAGUCAAUAAUUUCUUAAGGGCCCUUCCUGCUGUAUUGUUCUAUGAUCUUGUGCCAUGCAUUUUUCUUCAUGUGAAGUAACAUUUUGUUCAUUUGAUGAAUAGAUAGAAAUUCCUUCCCUGUGAAUCCAUUUCUAGUGUUUUUUAGUACGUUAAUUUGAUAGCCAUCUGCCUUUUUUUUUUUAAAUGAGCACUUUGACAAAUCUAUUAUCUCACCUCCUAAAGCAUUAAUUGGAAUCCCUUAGUUCUGAAGCCCUUUCUACGUAGUUGAAGAGUUAUUUAUGGUACCUUUUAGUUGUGAAUAAAUUCCAGGCAUCCAGAGGUGGGGCAUAUUUCUUUGCUAGUGAGUUCUUAUUUUCAUGUGAUAAAGGUCUCCAGUUCUCGAGUUCAUUUUCUCUGAAUGUGACUUUUUUUUUUGUCCAAGACUAUAUCUGAUGACCAGUGCUGUAUGGAUCGCAGCUCCGUUGGUCAGUAGUUUGUGUAAAUUUUCUUUCUUUUGUAUAUGAGGAAAAGGUUUUAUGUGUUAGAGGAAAUAAAUCCUGUUAUGUUGACAUGGUCUCUAUCCUCCAGUGAUUAUCUGCGCUUCAGAGGUUUGAGUAGGCUGUAAAGACUGCCUAACUGCCUUGCUCAAGGUCUUCUCAGAGGAAGGAAACUUCAGGCUUUAGAGUCCAUCCAGCUAUUCCGUGUCACUUGGUCUCAGGACUACUUGGAGCAUUGGUAGUGGGAAGUGCGAAAACAUAAGAAUAAUUUAGAGCAACUUCAAAUGUCUGAAUAGUGGAGAGGGUGCAUAAACCAUAACUUUUCUCCCUCUUGGGACUGACUUCAGCUCAGCUAAACCCAAAGUUUUGGGCUUCCGUGUUUAGGUGCAUUCUGUGUUUACUGUGUUUGAUUGCCAAAGCCCUGAUGAUUAGCAGUGACUGGGAUGUAAAAUCUAAUCCAUGAGGGAUUUCUGAAAACUGAGAUAAUGCACAUUAAGAUGACUGACUAUGGCCUGAUUAGUAACAAUACAGGGAAUACAGGGUCAGAUUGUUUUUCUUGUUGUUUUUUUUUUUCCCCGUUUUUUUUUGUUUGUUUGUUUGUUUUGUUUUUUGGUAGUAUGACUAGUAACCUAAGUGCAGGAUCUCAAACACACAAGCACAUUGCAAAAUUCUCCCUUUUAGCUUACUCGAUCAAUUUACAGAAUACAACGCAUGACUGCCUAAGCAUCUUUCUGCAAUACAGAUAGUUUAUGGCCAGUUUCAAUUUAAGAGACAUAUACUGAAUGUGUCAUGCAAACAGUAGUGCAAUUUUGUUAGGAUUUCUGAAAUAAGAGUUUAAAAUAUUCCUAUAUCAUAUGUGUGGUGUUCAGAAUCUACUAAUUGUGUUUUUGUACUUCAGGAUGGCAUAUUAAGAAAUACUAAUUUUUGGCCUGGAAGAUGUUGAGUACAUAGUCACUGACAAUUGUUAACUAUUGAAAGAGAGGCUUGUUUGAAUAGUACCGCAAUUCUACAAUAAAACAGAAUUUUAGUUAAAAGCCUAUUUUGGAAUAAAUAAAUAGUGCUAAUAUACACAAGAUAAAAGAAGGCAACACAGCAGUCAAAGCAAUCAAAGACAUUAGGAAGUUCAGUAAACUGGAAUGAGAUUCUUUGCUUACUAGGAAAAAAUCAUGAUAUGUCAAUAGGGUUUUACAGGCUAGUAUCUACAAAAAUUUUAAAGAGUAUUAGAAAUAAAAUUAGGAAAAUGAUACAGAACAGUUGUUUUGGGUGGAAAUUUUGCUGUUAGCCAAGGCAAACCCUCCACACCUGUUAGUAAGUGGAAGGGAAGAUGUCAAUAACUGAUGCAGGAAUGGCAGAGGAUUUCAUUAAAAUCUUCUCCAUGUAGAGAAAGAAAAGGAAUAAUAUGCAUAAUACUUCUUGAAGAUGUGGGGGUACUUUUCAAUCCAAUGGUAAUUUUGAGGAGGUUGUUGAAUGAUGUCUCUUAGAGAUUAACACCCAGACUUGCUGACUUAAGAUGACUUUUAUCAAUGAUAGAAAAGAGUUGCAUGAAAUUGUAUUUUUUUAUUCUCCAUACUUCGUGGAUUUGGGAAGUCUUACAAUUACUGUUUCAAGACAAACUUGGUGGUAUGGACUGUAAAAAUCCUGUUAGCAUAAUGUCUACCUCAGACUCUAUAUUAGGCAAAUGAUGUAGAUUUAAUUUAUAAGGAAUUGAUACAUUUACAUAAAAGUAAAUGCUAGUAGAUAUGAAUUUUGAAGAAUGUCAAAAUAGGUGUUACUGAUUAAGCACUUCAAUAUCUGUGAAGAUAUAAUAGACCUUGUAAUAUUGUGGUUGCCUGAAGAUGUAGCACUCAUUGGAUUUGUCACUGUACCUUUAGCUUAUUGGGAACUUGCCGGGUGUGGAAGCAGUUGUCAAUGGGGAACUUGCUACCCAAAACAAGAGUGGCAGUACUGAUGCCUCUAAUGGACCUUCCUGUGCCAAUGUUAUUCACCAUCUGCAUCUAUCAUCUGGAAAUAAAUGCACCCUAAGACUGAUUACAAACUUGCGGAGUCACUCAAAGGACACCAGAAUGUUUUAAAAAAAAAAUAAUUAAAAAAAAAAAAAAAAAAAAGAGGACGAAUAGCAGUUAUUGAGUUAUUGCAAAUCUAGAUCACAGACAAGCUGGUCACAUUACAAUGAUCAGAAUUUUGAAGAAGCCAAGAAAGGAAAAACAAUUUAGAAGCAGUGAAUGUCAAUGAUCACUCUGAAAUAGUGAACCGUAUCUUCAAAAAGUAAGAAAGGGUUUAGAUGUUUCAUAAGACAAGAAUCUCAAGCCUUCAGUGCAAGACAGCAUCCAAAAGGCCUGCUGAGAUCUGUAGCUGUUGAAAAGAGGUACUACUAAAAACCAGAGGAAAAAAGAAAGAAAUUUAUUUCUGCAGGGCAUUGGCAAAGUGUCUGUCGAAGCACUUUGCUUAAUUCUGAUAACUAUCUUAACGAUGAUAAAAAAUUAAGGCCAGUGUAGAAAACAGGCUCCAAAGUCAUCCUAGAAGAUUCUUAGCAAUGAGAAAUACAAGAACAGUUAAAUCUAUGCAGGUAUCAGAAAGAUUACUCUAAGAUGAUUUGAUUGCAAAAUUUAAGUGCCUUCAAGGAGAGAAAAUACUGGAUAUUAACAGGCUCUUCAGCCCAGUGUAGAAGGACAUGGCAAAUCAGUGGUUGUAAGCUGAUGUUGGACAAACUAAUGUAGUAAUGGGACACAGUUUUAACUUUGUAAUCUCUGGUACAAGCUCCCAAGGGAAGUGUUUUUAGGUGCUGUGUUUCAAAUCAAGAUUCAGUGCUGCUCUGGAAAACAUCCUUUAGCUGUACAGAAGUUAUUGGGCUUGUUUCAUGGGUAACUGGGUAAAAUUUAGUGGUGGUGUAGUGUACAGGAGGUCACUCAAAAUGAUUGUAAUGGUCUUGUUUGCCUUUAAGCUCUAUCAAUAAAAGUUUAAGUUAAACUCGAGCUCUCAUCCUUCAUUCUGUAGACUAUGAUAGGUUGUUUGAAUUCCAUUUUAUUCUCUAGUACAAGCCUUGCUUUAUUGCCUCCAAUAUUUAUAUACAAGAAUUGAGGAGAGGUGACACUGCAGUUGCUCAUCCCUGAACCACACUGUGGCUUGUGCCCGUGAUGAGGACAGCCUAAGCUGUGACUGCUUGCUCAAGGACUGGAUUGUCUUUGUUGCUUUCUGAUAACACACAUUGCUGUGGCUUUAAGUGCCACGCAGCCCGGCCCGCUGUGUUUGGGGCGAGUCAGCUCUGCCAGCUUUAAUCACUCACUUUAGCCUUGUGAAGAGGAAGGAGCAGAAAACGCUGCUCAGCAAGGCUGCAAGGCCAUGAAAUUGCGUUAAGCAACAGUCAUGAAAAUGACUGGAUUUGCUAUUUUAGUGUAAGUGUCUAAAUGUUUUUGAAAUUGUAAUUUUCUUGUGCUGUUAUGUGUAAAGGUGACCGCUCUGUGUUGGGCCCCCGGCAGUUGGCUGCAGACAGCUCAUCAGCUUGAUUCAUUUGGCAGGGGGGUCAGUCAGCACCUUCUCUGCAGCUGCAAAGCAGGAUUGAGCUCCUCACUGAUUUGCAAGGAUAUAAUGACAUCUACUAGAAAAUGCAGAACUUUCUGAAGAUGCAUUACGGUUUAAUUUUUGUGGCAGCAAUAUUCCUACCAGGGGCGCAAAGAUUAUAAUCCUUAUUCAACUUGCUAGCAACCACUUCAGGAAUAGAAAGGGCAGUGUCACUUGAGGAAUCUCAAAUUCCUGCUGGAGAAGCAGGCCCGAAUGAAUACAUUUUUGCAAUCAUGUCUCUUUCUAUUUCACUUUCAUCUUGUGUUUAAAAUUGCAGUACUGUAAGAAGUAAGGCUUGCAUUGUUUGGGUACUGCUGAGUUUGGCCACAUGAUGGCACACAUCAGUCAAAUCAACGUUACAGUACCAUCUGGAGAACUGUGACUGGAGAGGAGUUAAAGCUGGUACUCAGGGCUCCAGUGCUCAGGGUUUGUGGUCCCUCACUGCCAGUUUGAUCCACAGUUUACCAUCAUCGGUGAGGGUCAGUGAUCGUGACUCAGCCACAAGCUGGAGGAAAACAAAACAAAACAAAACAAAAGGCUAUCUUUCCAGAAGGACUGCUGGCAAGAGAACUUCUCUUUUUCUGUUCAUGUUGGUUUGGUUUUCUCUUCAAACACCUAGGGAUCAGGAAAACUUUUUUAUUUUUCCAACGUAUAGAUGAGAAAUAAUGUGUUGUAUUUGUUUUGUGAGAUAUAAGGGGAUUUUUUUUUUGUAAAUAAUCUUCCACUAGGUAAUAUUCUCUGCCUCCCUGAUGUUAUUUAUCCCUUGCUGCGGAGGUGGCUGGUGAAAACAUCUAUAGGAUCAGAGUGGUGUUGCAUGUUUUCACUAAGUCGAAUAGCAUGUACUGAUAAUCAGCCUCAAAACAUUGCUAUGAAAUUUAUACUUAUUACGGUGUCAGUGCUGUUACUUCCCAUAUCUUGCAUUUGUUUCUACUGUCUGUCAUUACUAAUAAAACAACUCAACCUUAC
ensembl:lncRNA